rnacentral:rRNA from 1 species
GGGGAGUCGGCGCCUAUACAUGCAGUCGAGCGUGAGCGGGACUUCGGUCCCGUGGAAAGCGGCGAACGGGUGCGUAACACGUGAGCAACCUGCCCCGAAGACUGGGAUAACCCGAGGAAACUCGGGCUAAUACCGGAUGUCCUCUUCCCACCGCAUGACGGGAUGAGGAAAUGUUCAGGCGCUUCGGGAUGGGCUCGCGGUCUAUCAGCUUGUUGGUGGGGUAACGGCCUACCAAGGCGACGACGGAUAGCUGGUCUGAGAGGACGAUCAGCCACACUGGGACUGAGACACGGCCCAGACUCCUACGGGAGGCAGCAGUGGGGAAUCUUGCGCAAUGCGCGAAAGCGUGACGCAGCAACGCCGCGUGAGGGAAGACGGCCUUCGGGUUGUAAACCUCUUUCAGGAGGGACGAAGGUUCAGGCGCGAAUAGCGUCCUGGACUGACGGUACCUCCAGAAGAAGCCCCGGCUAACUACGUGCCAGCAGCCGCGGUAAUACGUAGGGGGCUAGCGUUGUCCGGAAUCAUUGGGCGUAAAGCGCGCGUAGGCGGCCCGGUAAGUCCGCUGUGAAAGUCAAAGGCUCAACCUUUGAAUGUCAGCGGAUACUGCCGGGCUAGAGUCCGGAAGAGGCGAGUGGAACUCCUGGUGUAGCGGUGGAAUGCGCAGAUAUCAGGAAGAACACCAACGGCGAAGGCAGCUCGCUGGGACGGAACUGACGCUAAGGCGCGAAAGCGUGGGGAGCGAACAGGAUUAGAUACCCUGGUAGUCCACGCCGUAAACGAUGGGCACUAGGUGUGGGAGGUGUCGACUCCUCCCGUGCCGGCGCUAACGCAUUAAGUGCCCCGCCUGGGA